rnacentral:rRNA from 1 species
UGGGGAAUUUUGGACAAUGGGGGAAACCCUGAUCCAGCCAUCCCGCGUGUGCGAUGAAGGCCUUCGGGUUGUAAAGCACUCUUGGCAGGAAAGAAACGUCAUGGGUUAAUACCCCGUGAAACUGACGGUACCUGCAGAAUAAGCACCGGCUAACUACGUGCCAGCAGCCGCGGUAAUACGUAGGGUGCAAGCGUUAAUCGGAAUUACUGGGCGUAAAGCGUGCGCAGGCAGUUCGGAAAGAAAGGUGUGAAAUCCCAGAGCUCAACUUUGGAACUGCAUUUUUAACUACCGGACUAGAAUGUGUCAGAGAGAUGUGAAAUUCCGCGUGUAGCAGUGAAAUGCGUAGAUAUGCGGAGGAACACCGAUGGCGAAGGCAGCCUCCUGAGAUAACACUGACGCUCAUGCACGAAAGCGUGGGGAGCAAACAGG